rnacentral:lncRNA from 1 species
AUCGUCAAGGCUCGGCCUCUUGCCCUCGCCAAUCGGCCGGAUGUUAGCGGCAAGGCUCCCGGUUCCCAAAGUUUAAUUUGAAUAACUAAAUAUUUAUAUCUUUUUAUUUUCUUCAUAUGUAGUAAUUUUGUUGUCGGUUAUGUAUAACGAUAUGCAUCUUUUGUACUUGGUUUAUUUUGUGUCCUUUGUAGCUCAUUUUCGAGAAAUAUUUUAAAUUUUGAUUUGUAAUCUAUUAUAUAUAUAUAUAUAUAUAUAAAAGAACAAUAAGAUAUCAAACCAACUCGUCCAUAAAGGAGUUUAUUGACUACGCUUGAUUGUAAAAUUUCUACGCAUACAAACGCUUUAUUAUAUUUAUCUUCCUUAAUAUAAUAUUUGAAUUCCUAAAAGAAAUAAAAUUUAAUGUCUGCAAUUGUAGGGACCUUUAAGUUUGAGAAAUU